rfam:Stegodyphus mimosarum contig90775, whole genome shotgun sequence.
GCCUUCGUGGUGUAAUAGUCAGCACGCUCGGCGCGUAAUUCGAGAGAUCCGAGGUUCGAGCCCCGGCGAGGGCA